AAGAGACAGCAGCCGCCGCGGUAAUACGAAGGGUGCAAGCGUUAAUCGGAAUUACUGGGCGUAAAGCGUGCGUAGGCGGUUUGUUAAGUCUGCUGUGAAAUCCCCGGGCUCAACCUGGGAAUGGCAGUGGAUACUGGCAAGCUAGAGUGUGUCAGAGGAUGGUGGAAUUCCCGGUGUAGCGGUGAAAUGCGUAGAGAUCGGGAGGAACAUCAGUGGCGAAGGCGGCCAUCUGGGACAACACUGACGCUGAGGCACGAAAGCGUGGGGAGCAAACAGGAUUAGAUACCCCAGUAGUCCCUGUCUCUUAUAC
rnacentral:rRNA from 1 species